ACGACGCAGCAGCCUAAGCUUCGCCUAUCCAAGGCGCGGCGCGGAGGAACCACUUCCCUUGCUUUCAUCGGCACGGGACGGGGCGCAGGAGCCGGGUAACCGGAACUCCGGGUCACUUCCAUGACCCAGCCCGUCAGCUAACUUCGUCGGCACAUGGAAGGGCGAU
rnacentral:sRNA from 2 species